ensembl:lncRNA
CAGUGGUCUUCGGGGGGCUUUGGAGUCUGACACUGGGAGUGGACCGGCCCAAGCCUAAGGCCACCAAAGUAGCUGCUGGGGGACCCUUCAGGAGUCCCAGGGCAAGGCCACUUGGAGUGGCCUUGAGAAACCAGUGCAUGUGGAGGAAAGGACCGGAGACAGGGAAGUGGGACACGAGAGGGUCGAAGUGCUGUGGUGUUGCCAGCAGAGCUGACGUGAGCUUCGGUCGUGUUACUAGGAGUACAGUGUGUCGCAUAACUAAGGUAACAUUGCACUUCUGUGCUGCGGGUGGAGUUGGAAUGCAGGGUAAGAGCGAGUUCUACCUUUUCAGAUUGUCACAGUCAAGUCAGAACUGGGCCCAAAGAGCAGAACAGGAGCAGUGAAGGCCAGGGCGCCAUCCUGUGUGCAUCAGCUGAAGGGCCUGGAUAUCUCUUUGCUGAGGGAGAGCAGAGAGGAGGAAGUUACUAAAAAUCAACUGUGUGUCAGACCCUGGUCUUGCACUGCCCAAAAGAGAGGACUCUGACACAGUCCUGUGAUUGAAGAGCUCAGUGUCUGGUGGAGGACAGAGACAUGUAAAAGGGGACAGCACAACCAGUUGGGUGAGCACUAUGGGCCAGAUGAAGAAAAUAAAGCCAGGGAGACAAAAGCCCAACCUCAGGAACAUGUGUGGAAG